rnacentral:lncRNA from 1 species
AGCUACAUCCGUCACCUGACACGGCCCUACCAGGAACAGCCGCGCUCCCGCGGAUUCUGGUGCUGCUCGCGUCCCCGCUCCCCUAUUCCCCUUAUUUUAUUCCUGGCUCCCCUCGUCGAAAGUCUUCCAUUCUUCAAACUAGAUUAUUUAAAAAUGAAAAAGGAAGAAAGGAAAGCGAGGUCAUCUCAUUGCUCUAUCCGCCAAUCAGGAGGCUGAAUGUCAGUUUUGAACUAAAAGCCGCUCCGCUCCUCUUCUAGAUUUGGAAAACAAGCGAAAUUAAACUAAACCGCUGCACGCCUCUGACGCGACAUCUGGACACGGCGCGGCGCUGGCGCUGCCGGAGCUGUCGACCCGGCCUGGCGCCGGACUAGUGUCCCUUUUGAUGAGAAGAAUAAGCCUCAUUCUGAUUCAACAGCAGAGAUCAAAGAAAAGACUUCUGUUUUCUGGCCACCAGAUAUAUGUUAUCUGUGCUUAAAGAAUUGAAAAACACACAUCAAAGGAGAAUUUUCUUGGAAAGAGAGGGUUCAAGCAUCACUGUUAGGUGUGCUGGAAUCCUUUCCCGAGUCAGUACUGCUUUCUAGAAGAAAACCGGGGAGAUCUAUUUGGAAUGUAUCUAACUCCAAAGAAACCAUCAGAGGUAACAGAUUGGCUUCUCUCACAUGGCAAGAAACAUUGCUGCUAGCACUUCCCGAGUUCUACGUUCUACAACAUCCACCACUGCUAUGUCUCACAGUCCAGACUUGGAGUACAAGUAAUAAGAAGAAUAAAACUUAAUCCCUUAAGUAGAUUCACCAUAAGUUAGCUCAGAGCAAUUCCAGUGCAAGUAUGGUCUGUGAUCCAGUAGUAUCUUACAGACAGCAAGUUGAACAUUGUGGGAUGCAUGAGCUAUUGAGGCCUUUGCAGCUUUCUGCUACAUGGAGGCUAGGGCCAGAGUCAAGAUUUAUGCUUUGCAGCACACUGGUCAGCUGUUUUUGCAAAUCAGAUUAAAUGAUUUUUAAAUGAGGCUGAGAGCAUGGGAGAUACUAAUGUGUGUUUCCUUGUGAGCUACUGCAUAAGUUAGGAAAUUGAAAUACAGAAAGAUGAAAAGUGAUUUGCCCAAGCAUAUAGAUCAAAGCUGUGGCAGAACCAGGACUGGAACCUAUAUCUCUCUACUAAUGGUUUUUUUAAAAAAAUAACCUUGUUUCAAAAAUAUUAAAAAGUCACAAGAAAGGUAAACAUGUGGAUAAACAAAAUGAAGAAAAUAAAAAUUAUCCAGUAAUAACAUAUUGGCAUAUGUCUUUCUGGUAUAUUUUCCUGUGUUGUCAUCAUUAUCAUCUCCAUCAUCAUUAUAUCCAUCAUUAUCAUCAUCAUCAUCAUCAUCAUCAUCAUUAUCAUCACCAUAGUGAACAUGUAAUGCUUACCUAGUGCCAGAUGCUGUCUAGGCAUUUUACAUGUGUUACUGGUAACUCAUGUAAUCCUCAUAACAACCUUAUAAGGUGGUUGCUAUUAUCCCCAUGUUACAUAUGAAGAGACAGAAGCAUAAAGAAGUUGCACCGCUGGUAAUUGGCUGGGAUUUGAACUUAAGCAGUCUAACCUUAGAGUAAUGAUUUUAACAACUAUGCUAUAUACAUACAAAUUUACAAAAUAAAACUGGGCUCAGACAAUAA